rnacentral:rRNA from 1 species
AGCGAACGCUGGCGGCAGGCUUAACACAUGCAAGUCGAGCGGGCAUCCUUGUGGUGUCAGCGGCAGACGGGUGAGUAACGCGUGGGAACGUGCCCUUCGGUUCGGAAUAACUCAGGGAAACUUGAGCUAAUACCGGAUACGUGCGAGAGCAGAAAGGUUUAUCUGCCGAAGGAUCGGCCCGCGUCUGAUUAGCUAGUUGGUGAGGUUAUGGCUCACCAAGGCGACGAUCAGUAGCUGGUCUGAGAGGAUGAUCGGCCACACUGGGACUGAGACACGGCCCAGACUCCUACGGGAGGCAGCAGUGGGGAAUAUUGGACAAUGGGGGCAACCCUGAUCCAGCCAUGCCGCGUGAGUGAUGACGGCCUUAGGGUUGUAAAGCUCUUUUCUCCGGGACGAUAAUGACGGUACCGGAGGAAUAAGCCCCGGCUAACUUCGUG